ACUCUAAACCUUGGUUCUGGUGACUUAAAACUCAAAGGGAGAGGGACAAAGAGGAUCUACAUUUAAAUGUUUUUACUCGUUUCAUUGCAGAGAAGUCCCUCUCACAAUUAACGGAAGACACUUGUAUAAUCAGUGUGAUUGCUGCCAACUGUGAGGCCAGCUUUGUCAUUGCCGUCAGCUUGUCCAACCCCUGAAAUACAUGAAAAACUAAAAUAUGUACAACAUUAAACAAGAGCCAACAGAGUGGUAGUUCAACAGGAAAAAGUGUUGCGCAACAUUGGCCUAUAAUGUUCUCAUCAAAAGAUUGUCACACUCAUGCCAAUGCUUCAACUAGCACAUGUUGCUUGUAAAAGAGGGCCAGUCUUGCAGCACAGCAGCCCCUGGCUCUUCCAAGAACUGCCUGGAGAUGAGGGUUAGGUUAAAGGUGUUUAUUCUGCAUUACGAAAUCCUCGUCGACCCACUGUGCUGUCAGACUCAGCAUGCUCAUGGGGCUGACAUCGCUGGUCCAAAUGUAAUUCGUGAAGCUAAUAGCAGUGACGCCCAUAGCAAGUAGCUCAUGGAUGUGCGUUUCAACAAUACUGUGUAACUCCGGUAGGGCAACAUUUGAAAAAUAGUGCCUACUUGGUAGUAUGUACCGGUGCUCGAACCAGUUCGGUGAAAGUCUACAUCAUCCACGACAGAGAACGGUUGAUUGUCAAGGGCAAUGAAUUCCAUUAUCUUGGCGUUAACGGGUUUCGCCUUUGAGUUGUCUCGCUGAAAUGUUCUUAGUCUUUCAAAUGACUGCUUAACUUGAACAUGUUUAGUUGUUGGAAGUGUGCGCUUAGUUUUGUUAUGCUUUUGUUCUAAGUAGGGGGUUGAUGCACUUUCAAAUUAGUUAUUCGGUUUGUGGUAUUGAAAGAUUUCACUUUCUCCCCCCCUCUGGAAAUAUAUAUAUUUAUAUUUUCACCUUUAUUUAACCAGGUAGGCUAGUUGAGAACAACUUCUCAUUUGCAACUGCGACCUGGCCAAGAUAAAGCAUAGCAGUGUGAACAGACAACAACACAGAGUUACACAUGGAGUAAACAAUAAACAAGUCAAUAACAUAGUAGAAAAAAAAAUGUCUAUAUACAUUGUGUGCAAAAGGCAUGAGGUAGGCAAUAAAUAGGCCAUAGGAGUGAAUAAUUACAAUUUAGCAGAUUAACACUGGAGUGAUAAAUGAUCAGAUGAACAUGUGCAGGUAGAGAUACUGGUGUGCAAAAGAGCAGAAAAGUAAAUAAAAUAAAAACAGUAUUGGGAUGAGGUAGGUAAAUUGGGUGGGCUAUAUACCGAUGGACUAUGUACAGCUGCAGUGAUCGGUUAGCUGCUCAGAUAGCAGAUGUUUAAAGUUGGUGAGGGAGAUAAAAGUCUCUGUAAAUAAUAGCAGCACAAACGUUGCAUAUGGCCUUUUUGUUAUCUUCCUUUGAAACUUCAAAAUAGAUCCACACAGCUGACAUUGUGGGCUUGGCUAGGAAUGCUGUGUUGCAUGUGUAAUGCUGUAUUUUUUGUGGCGUCAUUAUGUCAUCUACAUACGUUAUAUAGGUACCCACGUCAGCUUUGACAUCGGUUUUGCACAUUGGCGUUAAACUAGACAUCGGGCUGAUGUUGGCGUUUGUUUCUAAUAUUGGCCAAUUCCGAUAUGCUUACCGAAAUACCGUGCAUCCCUAGAAAUAAUAGAAAAGUGAAACAUGUAAUAAUAGAUACACAAUGAGUAAUGAUAACAUGGCUAUAUACAAGGGGUACCAGUACCGAGUUGAUGUGCAGUGAUAUGAGGUAAUUGAGGUAUAUACUGUAUGUACAUAUAACUAGGAAUGAAGUGACCAAUAGUAAACAGUAGCAGCAGCGUAUGUGAUGAGUUUGUUCAGGUAACUAUUUAACUAACUAUUUAGCUUAUGGCUUGGGGGUAGAAGCUGUUCAGGGUCCUGUUGGUUUCAGAAUUAGUGCAUCAGUACCGCUUGCCGUGCGGUAGCAGAGAGAACAGUCGAUGGCUUGGGUGGUUGGAAUCUUUCUCUGACACCACCUGAUAUAGAGGUCCUGGUAUGGAGCUCGGCCCCAGUGAUGGGCCAUCUGCACUACCCUAGCGCCUUGCAGUGCCGUACCAAGCGGUGACGCAGCCAGUCAUGCUGUUCUCAAUGAUCCGCCAUGACUGCAGGCUGUAUUUUUACCUCUACAGUGUAGAGUCAACCAUGUGGUGAAAUAAAACAUUCCACAUUGUUCCUCAGAUUUAUGCAUCACUGGUGGGGAGCUAGUUUCUGGAUCAAAAUAUAUGCAAGUAAUGCUGUGACUUGGGAUUUGAUAUCUUUUUACAAUGAUUAUCACUGUCACUAGGCCGGAAUGAAGUGGAUAUUUAUAUCCUCUCAUGAGGAGGUCAAUGAGGUAUUGAGGUUGCAAGUUCAAAUCCCCGAGCUGACAAGGUACAAAUCUGUCGUUCUGCCCCUGAACAGGCAGUUAACCCACUGUUCCUAGGCCGUCAUUGAAAAUGAGAAUUUGUUCUUAACUGACUUGCCUAGUUAAAUAAAGGUAAAAUUUUAAAAAUAAUUUUAUUAAUUUGCUUGAUCUAAUAAUUUCAUACAUGUGUAUUCACAGGUGAUGCGUGUGUUUCUCUUUCAACUUGAUGCAUGCUAUUUGAGUCUGGGUGUACAACAGCUCUUUUCAGGGUCCAGUUUGUGAUCCCCAAAAAUGUAUUUGUAGUGACUUUCUUCUUGUGAGUUUCACUUAUUUUUUUGUGCUGUCUACUAACUUUCCUGACGGUUUGAAUAUUUAUGAAACAUUAUGAUAAUCUUUGGCUCUGCUCCUUAUGUUUAUUCACAGAUCCUCUGCUUGAAACAGUUACGGGAUGUGAAGUCUGAUUCUGUCCUCAACUUGUUGACCUGCCUUGAGGAUGUUGGACACCACUGUUGCACCUUCAGCCAUGACUUCUUUUCAUGUCAGUCGAUGGGCUGACUGACCUCAAGGCGCAGAAGGUGUUUUAAGUUUAGGUAUAGGAGGAGGUCUGGUGCAGUGGGGUGUUCCAGGUCCGCAACACUUGAGGAGAAAACAUCUUAAUCAUGAUGGUAAGGUCAUCUGCUUGCCAUACUAGAGAGACACACUCUGUUUCCAUCCUCAACUUGCGGACCUGCCCUGAGGAUGUUAUACACCACUGUUGCGCCUACAGUCAUGUUGAUUUCCGACUGGUUGUCUUUGGACUACAUGCCAUGGGCUGACUGACCUGAACAGAAAUACAAUAUUCAUCACUUUCCUCAUAUUGGACUACUCUGAUUAGUUAUGAGGUAACAGGAAAUAGACUCAUUACUCAUAAAUCAUUGCAGCUCACUUGACUGUGGAUAGCAGAGCUCUCUGGUGUUUCACCAUUUGAAAUUAAACAACAAAAAUGUAAAUUACCAUUGUUUUACACUUCUGACAUAUCGCAGCAGUAAGAGUAGUAUUCUACCUGACUCAUAAACAACAUCCUUGAGUGUUUCGUUGAUUAAUGUAUCUUUAUAAGAUUGUAUUCCUUUUUACCUGUAAAAAACCUGUAGACAUGCAUGAUCCUGUAAAUAUUUACAAGGAACAUAAAUCUCACUACUUGGUAUUUUUAUAUGGGGAUUGUGAAAAAUAUAUUUAAUGUAGUUUUGUAUGGUAAUUGUAAAUCAAAUUUGUUUUCAUUGGACUAGUCCAUAAGAAUUUUGUUAGGAUUUGUUUGUCUUCAACAACUGUUCUUAAUUAUGCCACCUUUUUUGUCCAAUUAUCUCCACGUAAUUACAGCCAUCUUUUCCAUUCUUGGUUAUCUGCCUCUGUAGCCUUUAUUUAAAGUUUUAUUUUUUGUAUUACUUUGUUAUUUUUAUUGCUACUCUCUUCACAUGGAGAUGUUAGUUAUGGGAUGAUGAUUCCAAUUUGGCAACAGGUGCUUGGAUAGUUGGGAUUAAAUAAGUAUUGUUACGGAAAUACAAAAUGUCAAUAUCGGUCUCACUUUAAACCAAGUACAAGUACUACAUUCACAAAUCAUCUAUAAGUGUUUGUCAUACUCUAUGAAGGGUUACAUACCCAUUUCCACUGUAGAGUGAAUUGCCAACUGUGACAUAACUCAAUAUGUAUGUUCACACACCAUCUGUAGAGUAUGACAUGGUUAUAGACUAUUUGUGAAGUGUUUAUGUAGUGUUUAUGAAGCCUUUAUGAAUGCUAUUUAAUGCCUUUAUAAGUUGUACCUACAAUUAUAAAUACUAGUAUUAAUAGACUA